UACGAAGGGGGCUAGCGUUGUUCGGAAUUACUGGGCGUAAAGCGCGCGUAGGCGGUUUUGCAAGCCAGAGGUGAAAUGCCUGAGCUCAACUUAGGAAUUGCCUUUGGGACUGCGAGGCUUUGAGGACUGGAGAGGUGAGUGGAAUUCCCAGUGUAGAGGUGAAAUUCGUAGAUAUUGGGAAGAACACCGGUGGCGAAGGCGGCUCACUGGCCAGUUUCUGACGCUGCAGCGCGGAAAGCGUGGGGAUCAAACAGG
rnacentral:rRNA from 1 species